GAUGAACGCUGGCGGCGUGCCUAAUACAUGCAAGUCGAGCGAACAGAUAAGGAGCUUGCUCCUUUGACGUUAGCGGCGGACGGGUGAGUAACACGUGGGUAACCUACCUAUAAGACUGGGAUAACUUCGGGAAACCGGAGCUAAUACCGGAUAACAUUUGGAACCGCAUGGUUCUAAAGUGAAAGAUGGUUUUGCUAUCACUUAUAGAUGGACCCGCGCCGUAUUAGCUAGUUGGUAAGGUAACGGCUUACCAAGGCGACGAUACGUAGCCGAUCUGAGAGGGUGAUCGGCCACACUGGAACUGAGACACGGUCCAGACUCCUACGGGAGGCAGCAGUAGGGAAUCUUCCGCAAUGGGCGAAAGCCUGACGGAGCAACGCCGCGUGAGUGAUGAAGGGUUUCGGCUCGUAAAACUCUGUUAUUAGGGAAGAACAAAUGUGUAAGUAACUGUGCACGUCUUGACGGUACCUAGUCAGAAAGCCACGGCUAACUACGUG
rnacentral:rRNA from 1 species